CUCACUGCAAUCUUCAUUUGCUCUUUCUCUGUAUCUCUCCAUUUCCACAAGGCUCCUUUAAGUUUUUUAACCUUGCUCUCUAACUUCCUCUCUGCUCCCUCUAAUCUAACCAUAGCUACAGACUGAGUUCUCUUAAAUACUACUCUAAUCACUAAUUCUAAAACCUUCAAUACUUUCUUUCCCUAAAGCAGUCUACAGUCAACCAGAUAGUAUCCCUGACAUACUUUUGCAAUCUCCUUUCACUCCUUUUCUUUAACACUGACAUUAAUCCUUAAACUUAAAAAAAAAUUCCAGUAAUGGGGAUUGAACCCAAGACGUUUGAAUUAACACCCCUACCCCACCACCACGCGCCUUUAUAGAGACAGGCAUCUCACUAAAUUGCCCAGGUUGGGCUCCAAUUUGUGACACUCCUGCUCCUCCUCCCAGAGUGUUGAGAUUAAAACUUGUGCCGCCAUGCCCAGCUAGUCUUUAAAUUUUUCUAUGAAUCAGAAUCACCCACAGGAAAUUUACUAAACCUGACUUUAAUCCCCAAAUAUCUGAUGGGACAGUUCUGGGUUGGACCCUAAGCAUGGAGUGGUGGUUGCUUUUAUAACAGGACAUUUGUAUUGCUAACAAGUUCUUCUUGGUGUUCCUAACCUCACAGAAUUUUAAGAACUACCUCAUCAAUUGAACCUUUACGUAAAUUUGGUAAACUUACUUUCUCAGCUAAUUGAUGAACUUGAAAGUUUGCCUUUUCUCAGGAUCUCCUAAUUCUCAAAUUCUGCAACAACCCAGAUGAAAUGCUUCUCUUAGAAAGGCUUUCCCGGUCCCCUUCCACUUCUUUCGUAUUAACUUGCACUUUUGUUGUAGCAUUGUGUGUGUUACUGAGGAUUAAACCCAAGGCCUUUGCACUGAGCUACAUCCCUAACCCUUUUUGUUUAAAUUUUAUCUAUUUGCCAUGGGACAUCACUAAACCACCCACGCUGCGCUUCAAUUUGGGAUCCUCUUGCCUCAGCCUACCAGAGCGCUGGGUUUACAGGCAUGUGCCACCAUGCCUGGCUAUACUUGUAAUCCCAACAUUUGUCCUUCUCUCUUCCCUUUAAAACACUUCCUAAAUAAGAAAAAUACCCAGAAAGCAUCCAAAAGCCCACCAACCAACGAACUCCCCUUGGAUUUGGAGCGCCAACUUCAUUUGUGACUCCAUCCCAACUCCUAGCUCUAGAGGGGAAUCCGAGACUAGCUAAUCUACUGGGAUUAUAAUUCGAAUGCCGCCGCAGAGGUCCUUCCCUAGUUAUGAAACUAAGGACGGAUAAAAUCACUCUAACAGUUGAUCAGAAGUCUGCAGACACAAAACUGCACGUAGAGAGAAGGGGAAAAAAACAAAAUAAAACUAUAUUACUCUGACAACAACCCGCCGGACGCUCUGAUUAGACGCCACCACUCAAUGACGUGACGCAAACGUGCGUCGGCUGGGCCGCCAGCCCCACCCCUGACGUUCACCUCGGCCUCUGAUUGGCUUUUCUUUACACAAAAUCCCUCCCCCUACUGCCGCCCACGUGAUCCCCUGGCGGCUUCAGGAUUGGUUGUCUGGUUAGAGCCGCGCGGGGCUGUGGGUUGCGGGCUGGAGAUCUGUGUCUAGGCGGAGAGCGGACACUGGAAGCGGGAAGCAAUCUGGAGCGGUCCGAAGGUUUGCGAAUCUGGGUGCCAUCGUCUCAGGAUACGCCCCAUUUCUUGUUUCUCCCGGGUUUAGGAGAUUUAGUUCUUAAAGUGAAUUGCUGUUUCCUGAUUGCAGUGGUUGGUUUGUGCGCUGGCUCCGGCCUUAUUUCUGUUUUCCCACAAGGACGGCUUCGGUCUUUCCUGAAGUGUUCGGGGUUUGGACUUUAUUCGAGCAUCUGUGGUGUAAGGCAUUGGCUGUCCCGCGCAGGAAUCUGUACAAUACUCCUUGAGUGUGGGGAGUAAGGACUUAGGGGUGCUUGAAGUAUGGUCCUUUCCCACGUGACAUACUGGAGAUUGAGAUGAAAUAUCUGGCUUUGAAAUCUUCAUUGAGGACUAUAUCACUUCCCCUUGUGCCAGUGGUGGAUUGAAAACUGAUGGUCAAUUUAAACACCAUCUGAUCUGAAUCAGCAUGGUGCUGAGUGUAGAUGGCCCACUUGAGGAUUGUUACCAGCAUAAAAAGGAGACCUGGAGAGGAAGAGUGUUGUUUGGUGCUGUUGGUUCUGUUGCUGUGAGUUCUCCUGAAGGAGUUUGUUGAACUUCUUCCCUGAUAUGAAGUUGGCUGUUACCGUCAGAGGAGUUUGGGACCUUGUCACUGAGAAUGGCUGCGGUUCAUUUUCGGGAAGCUCUAGUCCUUACUUUGAGCAUUGCUUCUUGGCUCUGGAGGGGAAGAUGUGUGCUGCUCAGUCUCCAGGAGAAACCUGUCAUGCUGGAUUCCUGAUAUGAACUCAGCUGUUAUCAUCGGAGGAGGUUGGGACAUCAUCACUCAGGAUGGCUAUGGUACUUUUCGGCAGAGCCCUGGUCCUUACUUUGAGCAUUGCUUCCUGGCUCCAGCACAGAACCCUCAACCCAUUGGCACAGACUCUUUACCCUGCUGGCAUAGACUUUACAGAUUCCACCGUGGACCUUUGGGCCUUUCCAGCACAGAUCCAUGAAGAUCUUUGGGGUCCAGGCCUUCAGCUGAAUUCUGUAGAUCCUUAGUGUAUGGACAGAUUUCCUGUACUUUCUUUGUAUUUAACUCCUUGGGUGGCUAUUACAAAUAAUUUUAUGUAUUAUGUCUUGUCCUCUUUGCAAACCCUGACUACAGCAGUGCCUUGUUACUGUAUUAAAAGUGUUUUGACUGGUA